rnacentral:rRNA from 1 species
GUGGGGAAUAUUGGACAAUGGGCGCAAGCCUGAUCCAGCCAUGCCGCGUGAGUGAUGAAGGCCUUAGGGUUGUAAAGCUCUUUCGUCAGGGAAGAUAAUGACAGUACCUGGAGAAUAAGCUCCGGCUAACUCCGUGCCAGCAGCCGCGGUAAUACGGAGGGAGCUAGCGUUGUUCGGAAUUACUGGGCGUAAAGCGCACGUAGGCGGCUACUCAAGUCAGAGGUGACAGCCCGGGGCUCAACCCCGGAACUGCCUUUGAAACUAGGUAGCUAGAAUCUUGGAGAGGUCAGUGGAAUUCCGAGUGUAGAGGUGAAAUUCGUAGAUAUUCGGAAGAACACCAGUGGCGAAGGCGACUGACUGGACAAGUAUUGACGCUGAGGUGCGAAAGCGUGGGGAGCAAACAGGAUUAGAAACCCGAGUAGUCC